UGGUGGAGUGAUUUGUCUGGUUAAUUCCGUUAACGAACGAGACCUCGACCUGCUAAAUAGUAUCGGGAACUUUCGGGUUCGCAGAAACUUCUUAGAGGGACUUUGCCUGUCUAGGGCAAGGAAGUUCGAGGCAAUAACA
rnacentral:rRNA from 1 species